rnacentral:rRNA from 1 species
UACAGAGGUGGCAAGCGUUGUUCGGAAUUACUGGGCGUAAAGGGCGCGUAGGCGCCUUCUAAGUCGAACGUGAAAUCCCCGGGCUCAACCCGGGAACUGCGUCCGAUACUGGAAGGCUUGAAUCCGGGAGAGGGAUGUGGAAUUCCAGGUGUAGCGGUGAAAUGCGUAGAUAUCUGGAGGAAUACCGGUGGCGAAGGCGGCAUCCUGGACCGACAUUGACGCUGAUGAGCGAAAGCUAGGGGAGCAAACGGGG